rnacentral:rRNA from 1 species
UACGGGGGGGGCAAGCGUUGUUCGGAAUUACUGGGCGUAAAGGGCUCGUAGGCGGCCAACUAAGUCAGACGUGAAAUCCCUCGGCUUAACCGGGGAACUGCAUCUGAUACUGGAUGGCUUGAGUUCGGGAGAGGGGUGCGGAAUUCCAGGUGUAGCGGUGAAAUGCGUAGAUAUCGGGAGGAACACCUGUGGCGAAAGCGGCUCACUGGACCACAACUGACGCUGAGGCGCGAAAGCGUGGGGAGCAAACAGG